UCGAACGGUGAACACGGAGCUUGCUCUGUGGGAUCAGUGGCGAACGGGUGAGUAACACGUGAGCAACCUGCCCCUGACUCUGGGAUAAGCGCUGGAAACGGCGUCUAAUACUGGAUAUGUGACGUGACCGCAUGGUCUGCGUUUGGAAAGAUUUUUCGGUUGGGGAUGGGCUCGCGGCCUAUCAGCUUGUUGGUGAGGUAAUGGCUCACCAAGGCGUCGACGGGUAGCCGGCCUGAGAGGGUGACCGGCCACACUGGGACUGAGACACGGCCCAGACUCCUACGGGAGGCAGCAGUGGGGAAUAUUGCACAAUGGGCGAAAGCCUGAUGCAGCAACGCCGCGUGAGGGAUGACGGCCUUCGGGUUGUAAACCUCUUUUAGCAGGGAAGAAGCGAAAGUGACGGUACCUGCAGAAAAAGCGCCGGCUAACUACGUGCCAGCAGCCGCGGUAAUACGUAGGGCGCAAGCGUUAUCCGGAAUUAUUGGGCGUAAAGAGCUCGUAGGCGGUUUGUCGCGUCUGCUGUGAAAUCCCGAGGCUCAACCUCGGGCCUGCAGUGGGUACGGGCAGACUAGAGUGCGGUAGGGGAGAUUGGAAUUCCUGGUGUAGCGGUGGAAUGCGCAGAUAUCAGGAGGAACACCGAUGGCGAAGGCAGAUCUCUGGGCCGUAACUG
rnacentral:rRNA from 1 species